UAUCUUUGCAGAAAAAAUCAUACUUUGGAAAGUGAGAGAUAAAAAAAUAGAAUUUGGGGAAAUGGUUCAAUCCAUACAGAAUUUUUUGUCACAGCUGUUACUUGCCUUUAUUCCUCACUUCCACUACUGCAAAACCGACGGCAGGUUACUCAGAAUCGGGAAAUUCAAUGGUUUUCGUAAUAUCUUUUCUGCAAUUUCUGCAAUUUCUGAUCUGUAUCAUUGACAGCACGAUACAAAUUGGGCAGACUCUUGGGGUGUAAAAGAUAUUUUAGCCAAAGAAUCAUGGACAAGGAUGAUAAAAAUGUUGCGAGUAUUUUGAAGUUCUCAAUACUUUCACCACCUAAUGAAAUUAAGAUAAGUUUAAUGACAUGCUUGAAGCAGAUUUAGUUUCUAGUGCAUGAGUAAUCUCAAAGUUGUUGAGAGGGUUUUAUUUCUUCCUAUGAUAUUUAAGAAUUUUUAGUAAGGAUUUUAGUUCAACAAAAGAUUUGGGAUGUAUAUAUAAUUUUUUGUGGUGAGAUGUACUUUGAUCAUUAGGUGCCAAUUUUAAUAGAACAAUUAAAAUGUUCAU